GCCGGGGGCCACUCCUGCGUGGUGCGAGUGGGAACGCGCGCGCGCGCCUGGGUGUGUGUUGUUAGCUGAUAUCCAUGGCAGCUGCAGUGGCAGGGUGCGUGUGCGUGUGUGUGUGUGUGUGUGUGUGUACUAGUUCUACUGUACUGGCAGACGGGAGGAGGCAGGGGAGGAGGGGCGCGCGCGCCGGGUGGGGAGCCACGGAGGGCUUCGCCGCUGCCUCCCUCCCUCCCUCCGCAGCUUGACCCGGUAGUGAAGGCAGAGAGAGAGGCAGGCUGGGUCCGCCUGGCAGCCUACGGGAGGAGGCGGGAGCCGGGAAGGAGGGGAGCCUAGGCCCGGCGUGGGGAGGCCGGCAGGAAGGGCCUCGAGCCCAGUGCGGACCUUUCUUCAGCCUCUGUGCGACCGAGCCGCGCGCCAGGCUCCUGUGCGAGGAGGACGCGCUGACUCCCUCCGACCUGGGCUCCGAUGGAGCAGAAAUAGCGGGACCUGGACUUGUGGCGCGCCUGGUGCCACAUCUCGGGCUCUGCGAGCGUCCUGGCGCGGGAUCCUGCCUAAUGUCUUACAAUAACAGAAUGCAGGAGAGCACAUAUCAAUGAAGAAAAGACAAAAUGUACUUAUCCAUGAAGCUGAGGUUAAGAAACCAGUGUCUUCAAGAGCCAGGGACAGCACUGGGUCUGUGCAGAGUUGAGAGAUGGUGAUGACAUGUGGUUUCCAGCAUUCCUCACCCAGUCCAGGGACACUGUGGGUGUGCCCAGCUUAAGUCCAGUAACUGGAAAUACAAGCCCAAGUUCUGGAGAGUUUGAGCUGCAGAGAUAUAUAUGGGAACACUUUGAAUCUUGACUCAUUGGCCAUAACCAGCAGAGUGGAAAAUACAAGAAGAGAAAAAAACAUUGAACUGCGAUUUUAUAACAUCCUUUACUAGGCAGAGAGAAGAGGAAACACCAGGAAAGAAAACUGUAUUACGAUGUGAAAACUUAAUGUUGAGAAAUUCAGGCAUCUUGGGGUUAGUGAGGAGAAGUUUUAGGGGCUUAGAUUCUUCUAAACACAUGUACAGAAAUGCAUAUUUCAUCUGAUAUCAAAUGGCAUUUAUAGUGCUAAUCUUUACCUCAAGACUUCACAUCUUUUGGUGAUUGCAUCUUUUAGGUUUAUAGCAGCUAAGUUUGCAUGAAAACACCAGGGCUGUUUCAUUUCAGUCAAGAAUUAAUGUUCAUUGAUUGUGCUUCUGCAUUUCAUGUAACUAUUGUAGAAUUUGUUUUAGUUUUAUGAGGGAAUAAUUGUUCCAACUUCUAUAUAACUCAGGAAUUUACUCUCAAACAACACUGUCAAUUAGUUACUUAUCUCUCUGGAAAUGAUCUGGGAACAUGGAGAGGAAAGGGAGGAAGGGGCAAAAUCUGACCACUUAAAUCUAAGCAUAUUAGAUCAUUUUAUGCUAGAAAGUCCUGAAUGAUGUGACUUUCGUUCUUGUAAAACACCUCUUUCCAUAGAUUCAUGGCCCAAACAGUAUAUAAAGAGUGGGGAAGGAACUGCAUUUGCAAAUAGUUCAAAUCAUUGCUCCAUCUUAACUACGCAGUUCACAAAGUGUGAAGAAAUGUGAUCAUCUCAAAAAAGAUAAUGGGGAAAAAAUAUGUUUUGUUCUGUGACUUUAAAGUCUUGCAAUAUUUUACAUAAAUGAUAAUGGGUGCUUUAAUAAGAACUCUUGAUACUUUUGUUAUUGUAUUCAAUAUAUGCA
rnacentral:lncRNA from 10 species